rnacentral:lncRNA from 1 species
GUGGUUUCUAGGGGUUAGAGAUGGUGGGGAGAGAGGUGGUGUGACUUUUAGGAGGUAGCAGAGAGGAAAUGGGGUGAGAGUACAAGUCAUUAUCUUGAUUUGGGAGGUAAAUAUGAAGCUACACAUGUGAUGAGAAUGUACACAUUUGCUGAAUAAACUCUGUGGAUUGCAGAACUACUUUCCCGGUUUGGAUCUCAUGUUAUAGUGCUACAAGAGGCUACAGGUGUGACAUGGGAGAGGCUGUGUGAAGGGUUCACGGGUCCCUCUCUGUUCAUUUCUUUGAAACUUGCUGUGAAUUUGUAAUUAUUACAAAAUAAAGUUGCUGAAAACCCUAAAUUUAUCCUUACCUCAAAUUUGCUCCUCUUUAAGAAGUCCUUAAUUUCACAGCCACAGAUGGGAAAGUUAGACCCAGACAUCAGCCUAGGCUCCUCCUUAUCCCGCAUGAUCAACAACAACUAGUAAUAAUACAGUAAUAAUGUGAGCAACAUUGAAUGAUUCCUUUCUACCAGGCAUUACAUUAGAGCUUUCCAUGGUGGUCUAACUUCUUCCUGGCAGUAAAGAUAAGAAAACUGAGGAUUCAAAUAGACCCACCAAUGGGAAAGGGUCAGCAUAGCACCUUCUACCUGACUUUGUGGUCCAGUCCAGACCACCCCCUCUCCUGUCCUCAACAUUCCCUGGUUCCCAGCUCUGUGACAUCACGGAGCCUCUUGUCUACUCUGCCAACCGUGGCAGCCCAUCAAGACCUGGCUUCAAAGAUGCUCUGCUCAUGCUUCAGGGACUGA